GGCAAAAUGGCGGCGCCGUGGGGGAUUCCCAGUUUGAUUUUCCGCUACCUAAGCUUAGCCUCGUGUGAUCCGGCAAUUACUCUUUUGAGAAGAGGAAGAUGCUGGUAGUCAUCUUGGGACCAUGAGACAAGCCAGUCCUAGAAUGAUGCAGAGACCAAGCUCUGGAAUAUGGCCCAAGUGCUUGUGCCCCUGCACUUGGCGUGGGAGACCCAGAAGAAGCUCCUGGCUCCUGGCUUCAGAUUGGCUCAGCUCCAGCUAUUGUGGUCAUUUCGGAGUGAACCAGUGGAUGGAAGACCUUUCUCUACCUCUUCUUCUGUCUGUGCUCCUCUCACAAGGGCUGAGCCCACACUGGGGACAUGUCCUGGGACUUCCAAAAUG